rnacentral:rRNA from 1 species
GGCUCAGGAUGAACGCUGGCGGCAUGCCUAAGACAUGACAAGUCGAACGAAGUGGCCAUUGAAGAUGGAGUGCUUGCACAAAGUCAGUAUUUGGUUACCACUUAGUGGCAGACGGGUGAGUAACACGUGGGGUAACCUACCUCAAAGACUGGGACAACAGUUGGAAACGACUGCUAAUACCGGAUAAUCCAUAUUUAGAUAACUAGAUAUGUUAAAAGAAGCGUUUGCUUCACUUUGAGAUGGGCUCGCGUCCGAUUAGGCAGUUGGUGGGGUAACGGCCCACCAAACCGACGAUCGGUAGCCGAACUGAGAGGUUGAACGGCCACAUUGGAACUGAGAUACGGUCCAGACUCCUACGGGAGGCAGCAGUGGGGAAUAUUGCACAAUGGGGGAAACCCUGAUGCAGCGACGCCGCGUGGAGGAAGAAGGUCUUCGGAUUGUAAACUCCUGUUGUCAAGGACGAUAAUGACGGUACUUGACAAGAAAGCCACGGCUAACUACGUG